rnacentral:rRNA from 1 species
GACGAACGCUGGCGGCGUGCUUAACACAUGCAAGUCGAACGCUGAAGCUCAGCUUUUGUUGGGUGGAUGAGUGGCGAACGGGUGAGUAACACGUGAGUAACCUGCCCCCUUCUUUGGGAUAACGCCCGGAAACGGGUGCUAAUACUGGAUAUUCACUGGUCUUCGCAUGGGGGUUGGUGGAAAGGGUUUUUCUGGUGGGGGAUGGGCUCGCGGCCUAUCAGCUUGUUGGUGGGGUGAUGGCCUACCAAGGCUUUGACGGGUAGCCGGCCUGAGAGGGUGACCGGUCACAUUGGGACUGAGAUACGGCCCAGACUCCUACGGGAGGCAGCAGUGGGGAAUAUUGCACAAUGGGCGCAAGCCUGAUGCAGCGACGCCGCGUGAGGGAUGGAGGCCUUCAGGUUGUGAACCUCUUUCGCUCAUGGUCAAGCCGCAACAAUGGUUGUGGUGAGGGUAGUGGGUAAAGAAGCGCCGGCUAACUACGUG